UCUCCGUUGGUGAACCAGCGGAGGGAUCAUUACAGGACUCGCAAGACUCCUACAACCCUGUGAACUUAACUAUAAGCACGUUGCUUCGGCGGGUGUCUCGGAGGGGGUUCUCCCUCCCCGAGACGCUAAACCCGCCGGCAGCCUACUAUACUCUGUCUCUUUGCGUUGGCAUCUCGAGUACAAUCAAACAAGUUAAAACUUUCAACAACAGAUCUCUUGGUUCUG
rnacentral:misc_RNA from 1 species